AGUUUGACUGGGGCGGUCUCCUCCUAAAGAGUAACGGAGGAGCACGAAGGUUGGCUAAUCCUGGUCGGACAUCAGGAGGUUAGUGCAAUGGCAUAAGCCAGCUUGACUGCGAGCGUGACGGCGCGAGCAGGUGCGAAAGCAGGUCAUAGUGAUCCGGUGGUUCUGAAUGGAAGGGCCAUCGCUCAACGGAUAAAAGGUACUCCGGGGAUAACAGGCUGAUACCGCCCAAGAGUUCAUAUCGACGGCGGUGUUUGGCACCUCGAUGUCGGCUCAUCACAUCCUGGGGCUGAAGUAGGUCCCAAGGGUAUGGCUGUUCGCCAUUUAAAGUGGUACGCGAGCUGGGUUUAGAACGUCGUGAGACAGUUCGGUCCCUAUCUGCCGUGGGCGCUGGAGAACUGAGGGGGGCUGCUCCUAGUACGAGAGGACCGGAGUGGACGCAUCACUGGUGUUCGGGUUGUCAUGCCAAUGGCACUGCCCGGUAGCUAAAUGCGGAAGAGAUAAGUGCUGAAAGCAUCUAAGCACGAAACUUGCCCCGAGAUGAGUUCUCCCUGACUCCUUGAGAGUCCUGAAGGAACGUUGAAGACGACGACGUUGAUAGGCCGGGUGUGUAAGCGCAGCGAUGCGUUGAGCUAACCGGUACUAAUGAACCGUGAGGCUUAACCUUACAACGCCGAAGCUGUU
rnacentral:rRNA from 1 species